AAUAUUGGACAAUGGGCGAAAGCCUGAUCAAGCAAUGCCGUGUGUGUGAAGAAGGUCUUCGGAUUGUAAAGCACUUUACUUUGGGCGGAAGGGGUUGAAGCUAAUACCUUCAAUCUUUGACGUUACCAACAGCAUAAGCAAUGUCUAACUUCGUGCCAGCAGCCGCGGUAAUACGAAGGGUGCACGCGUUAAUAGGAAUUACUGGGAGUAAAGCGCGCGUAGGUGGUUCGUUAAGUUGGAAGUGAAAGCCCCGGGCUUAACCUGGGAAUUGCUUUCAAAACUGACGAGCUAGAGUACGGUAGAGGGUAGUGGAAUUUCCUGUGUAGCGGUGAAAUGCGUAGAUAUAGGAAGGAACAUCAGUGGCGAAGGCGACUACCUGGACUGAUACUGACACUGAGGUGCGAAAGCGUGGGGAGCAAACAGG
rnacentral:rRNA from 1 species